AAGUCGUAACAAGGUCUCCGUUGGUGAACCAGCGGAGGGAUCAUUACGAGAGUUGCAAAACUCCCUAAAACCCACUGUAAAUAUACCUAUUUUGGCUACUUCGGCAGGCGGUCCCAGGGCGGGGCCAUGGCCUUUUUAGACGCCUGCCAAAGCCUAUAAAACUCUUACUGUUACUGUAUUCUGAGCAUAAAAACAAAUAAGUUAAAAUUUUCAAUUGUGGAUCUCUUGGUUCUG
rnacentral:misc_RNA from 1 species